GAUGAGCGCUGGCGGCGUGCCUAAUACAUGCAAGUCGAGCGGCAAGGCCCCUUCGGGGUACACGAGCGGCGGACGGCUGAGUAACGCGUAGGAACGUACCCCAAAGUGAGGGAUAAUUCCGAGAAAUCGGGACUAAUACCGCAUGUGAUCUACGGAUUAAAGCUUUAUGCGCUUUGGGAACGGCCUGCGUCCGAUUAGCUAGUUGGUAGUGUAAAGGACUACCAAGGCGAUGAUCGGUAGCUGGUCUGAGAGGAUGAUCAGCCAGACUGGGACUGAGACACGGCCCAGACUCCUACGGGAGGCAGCAGUAGGGAAUUUUCCACAAUGGGGGCAACCCUGAUGGAGCAACGCCGCGUGCAGGAUGAAUGCCUUCGGGUUGUAAACUGCUUUUAUUAGUGACGAUUUUGACGGUAACUAAUGAAUAAGGACCUGCUAACUACGUGCCAGCCGCCGCCGUAA
rnacentral:rRNA from 1 species